UGAUAGGUGCGAGAUGAUGGAAAACUUCAAGGCAAAGUUGCUAAGUCUAAUAGAAUUGCUAACCCUAAAGCCUUAACACCUAGUAGACUAGAUAAACAUGCAUUCUAAACGGUUUAGGAAGUUAACACUCUUAUAUUGGGACUUCUACUCAAAAUUUUGGAAGGUGCGAGAUAGGUGCUGAUAGGUGCCAGAUGAUGGAAAACUUCAAGGCAAAGUUGCUAAGUCUAAUAAAAUUGCUAGCUAAACAUGCAUUCUAAACGGUUUAGGAAGUUAACACUCUUAUAUUAGGACUUCUACUCAAAAUUUUGGAAGGUGAGAGAUGAUAGGUGCGACAUGAUGGAAAAUUUCAAGGCAAAGUUGCUAAGUCUAAUAAAAUUGCUAACCCUAAAGCCAUAACACCUAGUAGACUAGCUAAACAUGCAUUCUAAACGGUUUAGGAAGCUUAACACUCUCAUCUUGGGACUUCUACUCAAAAUUUUGGAAGGUGCGAGAUAGGUGCUGAUAGGUGCGAGAUGAUGAAAAAAUUCAAGGCAAAGUAGCUAAGUCUAAUAAAAUUGCUAACCCUAAAGCCUUAACACCUAGUAGACUACCUAGACUAGCUAAACAUGCAUUCUAAAGAUUGUAUUCUAUUGGAACUACAUCACUAAAAACAUGGGGAAUUAUCAAAAAUAGGAUAAUUUGGAAGGAUCUAAAGAGUUUUGAGAUGAAUUUUAAAAAAGAUGACUUUUAGGACAAAUUAGUUGGAAAAAGUCUAUAUUACCCUCAAGUUAAAAAAUAUCCUAAAAUCAAUUUAUGAAUCCUCUCUUCUCCUUCUCCCUCCGUUUUUUCACUUUCUAAAAAUGUUUCAUUUUUCUCUCAUCCCUCCCUCUCGUGUUCCAUUUUCCCUCAUUUUCACGAAAUUUCCUUUUUCUUCCUUUUCCAUUCUUUAAUUCGUUUUCUUGAAAUUUCUUUCUCAAGCUCUUCCCAUGGUCUCCCACCGGCCUUUGAAAACCAUUUUCUCCAUUUUCUCACUUCCAAAAAGAAUAUUUCAUUUUUCUCUCAUCUCUCUCCAUUUUCAUACAUUGUGGGAUAAAUUGGCCUUCCUAAUUCUAAGAGCAUGAGAAUGUUGCUCUCACCUGCAUUGUUGUACAUUAUAUAAAAGUUCUGCACACUUUACAAUUUUCCAAGAUAAUGAAAUAAAAAUUGCAUACCAAAAAACAAAAAUGGUAUUCAUUCCAUUAUAUAAAACUAUUUAUGUACAUAGUUUGGAACAUAUACAAUUCCUUCAAAAGUUGGAACUAAAAGUCAAUACAUGGGAUUGUUGGUCCAUAAUUGAAAUGCCAAUUGUUUUCUAAAAUAUGACAUGUUUUCUUGACAUAAUGUAGCUACAUCUAAACCAGAAGCUUCAUAUUCAAAAUACUUAAUUGUAAAUACACCACAAUCACUAUUGUUGCGUUGAAGUGGAAUUGAGUCGACAAUGACAAGUGGCCAAGGUUCCUUGUGUGUUGAUGAUCCGCCUCUCCUAACAAAGAAUCCAGUAGCAUCGAGCAAAUUUGGCACCAUCUCUUGAAUUAGCUCUAAUAUGCUUCUCAUAUCUUCGGCACUCGUCAGCGACGGAAGCGAAUCCCAUACCUUAACUUGACAACGUACCAAGUCCAAGCAUAAUAGAAUCCAAUGAUUGCCAUGGAUAUUGAAUGGAGAGUAAAUGUAAUCAACAUUCACCCAAGGAUCUUGAAAGUCUUGUUUUGAUCCGACAACAUAGUCAACCUGCUUACUAAAUGUGAUAAACUACUUACUAUAGACUGAAAAUGAUGAGCAGGGUCAAUCUUGUACAUGGGACCGUUAGUUGAUGUCGAAGCCAUACUGAAACCUGCAUAAAAAAAACUAAUUAAAUAUAAUUGCAUAAGAGACUUACUAAACAUGGAUGCACUAGCAUCUUGAGACUUCUACUCAAAAUUUUGGAAGGUGAGAGAUAGGUGCUGAUAGGUGCGAGAUGCUGGAAAACUUCAAGGCAAAGUUGCUAAGUCUAAUAAAAUUGCUAACCCUAAAGCCUUAACACCUAGUAGAGUCCCUAAACAUGCAUUCUAAACGGUUUAGGAAGUUUACACUCUUAUAUUGGGACUUCUACUCAAAAUUUUGGAAGCUGCGAGAUAGGUGCUGAUAGGUGCGAGAUGAUGGAAAACUUCAAGGCAAAGUUGCUAAGUCUAAUAAAAUUGCUA
rnacentral:lncRNA from 1 species